AUUCUGCCCAUGCGGGGAAGGAUGAGAAGCUUCGACCAAGGUUCGACUCGAGCGCCAGCGAGAGAGCGUUGCCGCAGGCAACGACCCGUAGGGCGAAGCGCGCAGCGCUGAGUAAUCCUUCCCCCACAACCA
rnacentral:sRNA from 1 species